rnacentral:rRNA from 1 species
GAUGAACGCUGGCGGCGUGCCUAAUACAUGCAAGUCGAGCGAACAGAUGAGGAGCUUGCUCCUCUGACGUUAGCGGCGGACGGGUGAGUAACACGUGGAUAACCUACCUAUAAGACUUGGAUAACUACGGGAAACCGGAGCUAAUACCGGAUAAUAUAUUGAACCGCAUGGUUCAAUAGUGAAAGACGGUUUUGCUGUCACUUAUAGAUGGAUCCGCGCCGCAUUAGCUAGUUGGUAAGGUAACGGCUUACCAAGGCAACGAUGCGUAGCCGACCUGAGAGGGUGAUCGGCCACACUGGAACUGAGACACGGUCCAGACUCCUACGGGAGGCAGCAGUAGGGAAUCUUCCGCAAUGGGCGAAAGCCUGACGGAGCAACGCCGCGUGAGUGAUGAAGGUCUUCGGAUCGUAAAACUCUGUUAUUAGGGAAGAACAAAUGUGUAAGUAACUAUGCACGUCUUGACGGUACCUAAUCAGAAAGCCACGGCUAACUACGU